rnacentral:rRNA from 1 species
AUUGAACGCUGGCGGCAUGCCUUACACAUGCAAGUCGAACGGCAGCACGGGGGCAACCCUGUGGCGAGUGGCGAACGGGUGAGUAAUACAUCGGAACGUACCCAGUAGUGGGGGNGUANCCCGGCCGAAAGCCGGAUUAAUACCGCAUACGACCUACGGGUGAAAGCGGGGGNGUCNCAAGACCUCGUGCUACCGGAGCGGCCGAUGUCAGAUUAGGUUGUU